rnacentral:rRNA from 1 species
CAGUCGCCGCGGUAAUACAGAGGGUGCGAGCGUUAAUCGGAUUUACUGGGCGUAAAGCGUGCGUAGGCGGCUUUUUAAGUCGGAUGUGAAAUCCCUGAGCUUAACUUGGGAAUUGCAUUCGAUACUGGUUAGCUAGAGUGUGGGAGAGGAUGGUAGAAUUCCAGGUGUAGCGGUGAAAUGCGUAGAGAUCUGGAGGAAUACCGAUGGCGAAGGCAGCCAUCUGGCCUAACACUGACGCUGAGGUACGAAAGCAUGGGGAGCAAACAGGAUUAGAUACCCCUGUAGUCCCUGUCUCUUAUAC